UUAAGCUUUCAUAAACGGUGGCAAAAGCAAAACAUAUAGAAUUUUACGAUUCCUAGGCGUAAAGAAUCUAAUAUGCAUCUCUCUUUAUGCAAUCUCAUAUUCAUGAGAACGAGAGAAUGCUCGUCUUCAACAAUUCAAUGAGCAGAAAUGAAACUUGCGAGAUAUAGUGUUCCUUUCACCUUGGCUCAGGCGCCACUUUUUGACAAAAAUAUGCCACUGUCUUGGUAUCUUUCAACAUAUAUUUUAGCUGUGUCAAACAAGUGUUUGAAAUUUGUAUGCAAAUUAUUGCUUAUACCUUUGCUUCGCUGAGCAUAUCAUGGUUGCGUUAGAUAGAAAUGCCAAUGAUGAAAGUCACGUGCUUAUCACAUGCACAUGAGAUUUUGUGAUUCUAAGGAAGUAUAGUGCAAUCUUUCUCAAGAAUAUCAUACGGAUUUUUCCCUACUCCAGGUAUGUUAAGGCUAAUCCUUUCUUCUUUUGGCAUGAUCCAAGUAACGAUACGUAAACGUAAUAAUAUUCCAUAAGUUAUUCUACUCUUAGCAGUUAAGGAUGUUUAUGUUAUUCAUUCUCGUAAAGUGAUAUUCAAGCAUGUCUAAGUAUGUAUCCAGUUCCCUAUUGAGGUAUUUGAUAAAGAUGUUAAUGUUUAUAAUAUAGUGAUACAUGCAUCUUCAUGCAUAUGCAUUUACCACCGAGCUACGGCCGGUCGGGCAGUUACCACCAGUUGGGCAGUUAUGUAUCAUUAUUUACCACCGAUUGGGCAGUCACGCAUUUACCACCGUAUGACAGCCGGUCGGGCAGUUAUCACUGAUCAGUUGGGCAGACAUGCGUCAUAUGAUAUGGACAUAGAAAUAGUCUCGAAGAGCAUUAUAUAUGUAAUUAUAAUAAGUAUACAUAUAUGGUGGAACUUCGGAGAUUCAGGUUGAUUCUUAUAUGUCUCUAAUUAACUUAUUGUUAUGUUUCAGUUUUGCCUUACAUACUCAGUACAUUAUUUGUACUGACAACCUUUUGUUGGGGACGCUGCAUUCAUUCCUGCAGGUAUAGACAAUCAGUUUGACAAGCGCUCAUAGUAGACGAGAUUGGCAUUCAGCGAAGGAUCGGUAAGACUCCACCUCAUUCGGAGUGCAACCAAGUCUAUGAGUCAUCGUGUAAGAGUUUUGUUAAAGGCAUAUGGGUAAGCUAGUACCCUGUACCAUUAAAUGUCAAAUAAUCUUAGAGGCUUUGUAGACGGAGAAUAUAUUGUACAGUAUGUCAGAGGCCUUGACGGCCCAUAUGUAUUCAGGUUUUAAGAAAAAUGAUUCAAUGAUAUAGUAUUUUCC
rnacentral:lncRNA from 1 species